UGUGCCAGUAGGGGGCAGAGAGAAGAGAGACUACAUCUAUGCUCAGUGUUCUGACCUAUGGACAUAUGAGCUAUUCAUAGCCUAACAUU
rnacentral:snoRNA from 14 species